rnacentral:lncRNA from 1 species
CUGAUGAUGUUUUGGGUUCUUUCCUCCUGUGCCCCCAUCCUAAAAAACCCAAAUGUGGUUCUCUUAUCGUUCAUUUCCCCUCUGGUAUGGUCACCCACCUCAUAGAAAACACUCGUAAAGGGAAAUUCUUCCUUGAGAAAUGCAAGACUGAGUUCAGUUCCAUAGCAGAGCUGAUUGAAUAUUAUAUGGAGACCCCGCAUGAGCUGCCUUGUCUGCUGAGCUGUGCCCGGGUAAACCACUGUUACGAGUGGGAGGAAAAUGUGAGCAAACAGCAGCCUGUAAAGCUUCACGUGAGCCUGAACAAAACCAAAAUUAAAAGUAUCCACAAAAAGGAAUGGGUUUAAACUCUGGACACUGGAAUGGGUGUACUGCAAACGCCUGGGAUCCAGAAUAAGUGACACAAUUUUCUUUCUUUGGCACAUAUUGUAUAUUAUCACGCAUGGUGUUAUUGGGAGUCUUCACAAACAGUAAAACAGAAUGCACCUAUUAAGUCUUGGCACUUGUACAGGUAAUUUAAUCAAAGGGUACUUAUUAUGUUGUGCUUGCUGCUUAUGUUUUUUUUAAAUGUAAUUUUACAAAAAUAUUUUUAUAUCUCUAUGUGCUUGCUCUAAGGCAUCAGAGUUCAUUGGUGUUUUAAGAUGUGAAACUAAAUUCCUGAACUCACUCAUAUUGUUGCACCCGAUGGCAAAGACAUAAUUGUUUGUCUUUCUUUUUUUCUUGCAUUGUAAACACGUUGCAUUCAUAUAUAUGAUCAAGUUUUAUGGUUUAAUUGAAUUUUAAUCUUUAAUCUUAAUCUAAGCUGAAAUACUAUGCACAGUGAUGUGUCGUAGUGUAAGACAAUGUGGCCAUGACAUCAGUUAUAUUUUAUAUCCCACAGUGAAUUUGUGCACUUACUUUAUAAAAAAUGUUAUAGACUCAGUGGCCAAAUAAUCCGGUUAUAUUAAUCAGAUUGUCAUGUUCAGCUUUGGUCGCCACAGUUAGAGAGGUGUUGAUGUAACUGUAUGAAGUGAUCACUUUAGAUGUGGUUUGUCAUGCUGUUGAAAUGUACUGUUUACACUGAAAGGUGUUUCUGACUGUCCAAAUUAUUGUGUUUAGUGUGCAGUUUAUUUUAAUUAUUUGUGGAAAUACUGGAUUGGUUCAUGUUGACCAACAAUGAUCUGAAUGAUCUUCUUGAGGAUUGUAGGAAGUGUAGACUAGCUAAUACAAGCAAACAAGGUGUAUACCAUUAUCUGUCAAAUAUAAUUUUAAAAACGUUAAAUAGGUUUGAUAUGCGUUUUGAUUUCUUUAAUCAAUUAUUGUGUAUAUAAAACACCAGCUGUUGUGAUCUCUUUUUGCUGCCUAGCAUUUAGUGCUAAGUUUAGCUUAGCUUAAAUGUUUGGAAAAAUGUUUUUAUGGUGUCAUUACUGAUGCACACAUUGGGCUAAUAAAUAAAUAUACUGCACAAUGUUGGAAGGGUAGCUGAAAUGUUAGUCGGUAU